rnacentral:rRNA from 1 species
AGUGAACGCUGGCGGUAGGCCUAACACAUGCAAGUCGAACGGCAGCACAGUAAGAGCUUGCUCUUACGGGUGGCGAGUGGCGGACGGAUGAGGAAUACAUCGGAAUCUACUUUUUGGUGGGGGAUAACGUAGGGAAACUUACGCUAAUACAGCAUACGACCUACGGGUGAAAGCAGGGGAUCUUCGGACCGUGCGCGAUUGAAUGAGCCGAUGUCGGAUUAGAUAGUUGGCGGGCGAAUGGCCAAGCAAGGCGACGAUCCGUAGCUGGUCUGAGAGGAUGGUCAGCCACCCUAGAGCUGGGCCGCGGACCAUGCGCCUAAGGUAGGCACCAGUGGGCAAUGUUGGACAAUGGGCGGAAGCCUGGUCCAGCCAUCCCGAGUGGGUGAAGAAGGCCUUCGGGUUGUAAAGCCCUUUUUUUGGGAAAGAAAAGCUGCAGCUUAAUACCCCGCUGUUCUGACGGUACCCAAAGAAUAAGCACCGGCUAACUUCGUG